CACGUGUUGUUCUCACCACCAUCAUCAAAUGCUUACUCAUCUUUUCUAUUUUUGCUUCUCUCCCUUGCUCUCUCUAGCUAACUCGCUUUCUUCUCUCCCUCUUCUCUAUUCUCUAUUUAUUCAGAAGCUUGAAAGAACACAAAGAGCAAUCGAUUUUGAGAGGGUUUUUCUCUUUCACGACUGUUGGAGAGUGAUUCAUAGGCUUUUCUCUCGUGUUUGUGUGAGCCUUCAACAUCGGAUCUUUAAUCAAUAUUUUCAUGGUAUUCAAAAGGUAAAGGCAAGAGGAAGCUGGACCAUCCUUGAGUUGGAGAGCUUAGGUGAUGAUGUGUACAUAUGCAGCUGCUCGUCCGCCACGGCCGAGGUUUAAAGUGAAACUAGGGUUGAACCCUGUUUUGCCGCUUAGAACGGCCUGCUGUAAAUAUUUUCUGUAAUAAACUCUGAAGCUUUAUUUUCGGGAUCCCAAUGUAUAUAUUAAACGUUCUAGUGAAACGUUA